AUGGCAGAAACUGAGUACGGAGCUGUGGGCAGAGAACUUGACCGCUCCUUCCCGCCCUGCAGCCGCGUGCAUCCGCCGGUGCUUUCGCGGGCGCGACUUCGAGGGGUGCGGGCUGUGGCGUCCUGGGCUUUUUCCCCCCGUGCUGCCCCCACAGUGAUCGGGGGUCCAGAGAGGGGAAGUGACCUUCCCAGAGUCAUAUAGAAAGAUGAACACAAUUCCAGGUAUCUGUCUCUUAGUCCAAUAUUCCUUCCAUCAGCAUGUCCCAAGCUGACAUUCAUGAAACACUGAAGUCCCCAAAACUGAUAAUGACGUUUUUCUUCAAAAAGGGUUCUGUGGUCUAAUAAUACUGCAUAUUAUGUUUCCUCUUGGAGAUUCAAAAUGAAUCAAUACAUUAAAGGUUCUGAGAUGUCUUGCAGUUUAAGUAUUUUAGUUUUGUCCAGUGUUUCCUAAACCGACCUGAUCAUAUAAUACUUUUUUAAGAACCUGUUAUUAACACCUUGUGGGACUGUUUCAUUUACACAGUUUAGGAAACACAGCACUUCUCUUAACAACAUGAUAAGGCUCUGAGUUAAGCUCCUUCCAAAAAAAAAAGAGAGGAAAAAACUUGAGCACAGAUAUGAACAUAAGACUGCCUCCUUUUCUAGAGAGGAAAAAAAUGUGAAGCAGCCUUCAGUGGAAAGCAAGGCGGGGGGCAGGGGGAGAGUGGGGGGAGGGGAUAUCCCAAAAGGUAGAAAUGACCCAUCAAAGACUUAAUGAGAAGUUCCCGUCAUGGCACAGCAGAACUGAAUCUGACUAGGAACCAUGAGGUUGCAGGUUCGAUCCCUGGCUUGAUCAGUGGAUUAAGGAUCCAGUGUUGCCGUGAGCUAUGGUGUAGGUCGCAGAUGUGGCUUGGGUCUGGCAUUGCUGUGGCUGUGGAGUAGGCCUGCAGCUGUAGCUCUGAUUGGAUCCCUAGCCUGGGAACCUCCAUGUGCCGCAGGUGCGGCCCUAAAAAGCAAAAAAACAAAACUAAAAACAACAACCGAA
rnacentral:lncRNA from 1 species